GAUGAACGCUAGCGGCAGGCCUAACACAUGCAAGUCGAGGGAGAAGCCCUUCGGGGCAGAAACCGGCGCACGGGUGCGUAACGCGUAUGCAACCUACCUUUCACAGGGGGAUAGCCCGAAGAAAUUUGGAUUAAUACCCCAUAAUAUUAUUGGAUGGCAUCAUUUGAUAAUUAAAAUUACGAUGGUGAAAGAUAGGCAUGCGUCCUAUUAGCUAGUUGGAGUGGUAACGGCACCCCAAGGCUACGAUAGGUAGGGGUCCUGAGAGGGAGAUCCCCCACACUGGUACUGAGACAGGGACCAGACUCCUACGGGAGGCAGCAGUGAGGAAUAUUGGUCAACGGUCGGAAGACUGAACCAGCCAUGCCGCGUGCAGGAAGAAUGCCUUAUGGGUUGUAAACUGCUUUUAUAUGGGAAGAAUAAGGAGU
rnacentral:rRNA from 1 species